rnacentral:lncRNA from 12 species
CUUGCAGUGUCUUUCUGGAAGGUUUGGUCUUGGCUGCUUCCAGCUGUGUGAUAUUCCUCAUUAAUCCAGGAAAGAUCCCUAAAUCCCCCCAGGGGGAUCCAGGAGCUCAGCCACCCUUCCUGCUCCGUGGCUGUUCCCAGAGAGCUCUCCUGGGGGAUUUGGGAUAGCUCUGGGAUCUUGCCAGAUCUCUCGAGGCACAGAACAGAGCAGGUAAUAAACAGGGCCUAAAUGCAAAGUGAAA